CCUACGGGAGGCAGCAGUGGGGAAUUUUGGACAAUGGGGGCAACCCUGAUCCAGCCAUUCCGCGUGAGUGAAGAAGGCCUUCGGGUUGUAAAGCUCUUUCGCAAGGGAAGAAAACUUAUGAUCGAAUAAAUCAUGAGGUUGACGGUACCUUGAUAAGAAGCACCGGCUAACUACGUGCCAGCAGCCGCGGUAAUACGUAGGGUGCGAGCGUUAAUCGGAAUUACUGGGCGUAAAGCGUGCGCAGGCGGUUUUGUAAGUCGGAUGUGAAAUCCCCGGGCUCAACCUGGGAACUGCGUUCGAAACUGCAAGGCUAGAGUGUGUCAGAGGGGGGUAGAAUUCCACGUGUAGCAGUGAAAUGCGUAGAGAUGUGGAGGAAUACCAAUGGCGAAGGCAGCCCCCUGGGAUAACACUGACGCUCAUGCACGAAAGCGUGGGGAGCAAACAGGAUUAGAUACCCUGGUAGUCCACGCCCUAAACGAUGUCAACUAGUUGUUGGUAGAGUAAAAUCUAUGAGUAACGUAGCUAACGCGUGAAGUUGACCGCCUGGGGAGUACGGUCGCAAGAUUAAAACNCAAAUGAAUUGACCGG
rnacentral:rRNA from 1 species